UCCGCUAUACUCUCGUCGCUCUCCUGACUCUCUGCCUCUCUCGUCGCUCAGCAAACGCUACUGCCUCUCUCCGUCUCCUCUCAGCACUCAGGAGUCCUCUGUUACUCUGUCACCUCUGUGCCUCUGUCCUCGCACGGACGGCACUGUCGUACCUCGCGAGUCGCCACCAAACACGGAGCACCGGCGACCGGUCAUCGCUCACGGGUCAGCAGGAGUCCUCGUUGGUUCCUAAUCUCGUUCUCACACUAUGUCACAGAUAUUUGGAGCCGCUUACAAUUGCUUUGUAUAGAGAGAAAUGGUCACUGGUCCAAUUUCUGUUUUGCUCAUCUUGUAGUGGAUACGGAACCUCAAGCUUGGAAGAACAUCCAAGGACCUCGGAAGCCCAAUUUCGAUAUGGUAUUAAGCUUUGAUUGCUGUUAGAGAAGGUGUUAUUCAGUUGGGAGCUAUUUAUAAGAUGAAGUCUAGCGUGGGUAUGCUCCUGCUUCCGCUUCUGAUCCUCCAGCUCUGGCUCAUGCUCCUGCCUAGUGUACUCCUGACCCCAUUCUCAUUCCUGUUCAAUCAGUGUUACCUAUUUUGGUCUCUUGCCCUCGUUAAUCCGUUAUGUCUCAAGGGAAAAGUCAAGACUGCCCCUUUUCGUGUAUAUUUCUUUUGUAGCCAUGAUAAUUCUAAGAUGGCUAGUAAGGACGGGAAUAGUCCAAACUCUUUGUUAAUGGGCUGUAAGAAACUUUUAUACUUACAUAUAUAUUCGUAGCUGGUAUAGCUACUCUUUCGCUACCUAUAUGCAUAAAUGAGGAUAUGAUGGGUUUUGACGAUAAGAAACACGAUCCUUGUCUUCUUCCUUUAGCCUGUGCAUCUAGAGUGGACUCUUUCUGGAUUUGAUUGGGUUCAGUCUAGAUGUGGCGGUAACUCCUCCGGUUGUUCGGUAAGGCCGAGCCGGGGUGUUACAGCGAGACAUCGAACUACCUCUCGCGAGAGGUCAGUUCAUCUUAAUGUCUCGAACGAGAGAUCACUUCUGAUCUCAUGUGGUUCUGAGAUGGAAAACUUGUUCGGAAAUAAAUCAAUAUAUUGUAAUGUAGAAUCAAGAGAAAAAUAUAUAAAUUACCUGCAUCAAUUAAAUUGCUUUUCCUUGGGCUUGAAUAAACACUAUUUAAUGCAAUUUGAGAAUUUUGAACAGCAUUGACUGUCAAUAAGUACAACAAACAAAUCCAAUCACAAUACUAAUUAACAUAACAUUUAAUAUAAUUUAUUAAAAAGGGAAAAAAAAAAACAAUUUUGGUCCUAGUACUCCCAAUAUCCGUAUU